rnacentral:lncRNA from 1 species
AUAGAGAGAGAAAGUGGGAGCAAGAGGAGAAAAGGGUAGAGAGAAGAGGACUUGAAGAAUCAAUGGUUGGGAGAAGAGCUAGGAGCAAAAUUGAAGCCUAAGUUAGAGAGAUUAACCUAACUAAGGUAAGGGGGUUAGAAUUCAUCAUAAUCACUUAUUGUAAUUUUCAAUUAUUUGUAUGAAGCUUAAUUGGGUGAAUAGAUUAAUUGUCCAUAAAUGAUGAAAUUCGUGCUCUAAUUAUGAUGAAAUGUUUAGAUGUAUGAAGUUAUGAAUAAUUGAAUUGUUGUUGGUUGAAUUACAUGUUCAAAGUAUGAAAAAUGGGUAUGUGUUGAAAAUAUGCUCAAUUGGUUGAAUUAUGCUAUGUUGUUGUUGAAUUGUGAUAAUAUUCAUGUUCAAUUGUUGUUGUUGUUGCUAAGUGAUAUUGUUGUUAAUGAUGCAUGGCUUGGGUGUUCAUAAUCAAUGAUUUGAUAAUGUGAAAUAAGUUGUUGUUGUUGGUUUGAUGAAAAUGGGUACUUAUGAGUUUUGCUCAAAUUGUUGGAUUGGGAUAUUGUGUUGUUGAAUUAUGGUUGAAUUUGUAACGCCCUAGUUGUUAUUUAAUUAUUUUUAGGCUUAAUUGCAUUUUUCACCCCUAUCUUUUGCCAAUUGUGCGAUUUUGCACCCCAUGUUUUUAAACGAGCGAUUUUGCACCCCAUCUUUUUCCCUCUUUCUGAUUUGGAGGCCCCCCAUGUGUUUUAGUGAUGAUGUGUCUGAUUUUGAUGACGUGUCUUCAUUUAAUGUUUGCCACGUGUGUAAAUGUAAUUUUUAAAAAACAAAAAAUUGAUUUUGGAAAUUAAAAGAAACGGAAAAAAAAUUUGGUAACCAAAAAAAAAAAAGGAAAAAAAUUGACAGCUCUGCCAUGAACGGAACCGAUAAUCGAUAUUUUUUGUUUAAAAAAAAUUCUAUGAAUAAAAUCCAAAUGGAAAAAAAUUAAAAUAAAUAAUUAGGUUUUUUUUAAUUCGUUUUUGUUUUAAUUUUAUUUUUUUAAUUGGUUUUUGUUUGUAUUUUAUUUAAUUUUAAUUUAACAAGAUCUGCAUUUUCUUUUAAUUUCUAAAAUUAAUUUUUUGUUUUUUAAAAAUUACAUUUACACACGUGGCAAACAUUAAAUGAAGACAUGUCAUCAAAAUCAGACACAUCAUCACUAAAACACAUCGGGGCCUCCAAAUCAGAAAGGGGGAAAAAGAUGGGGUGCAAAAUCGCUCGUUUAAAAAUAUGGGGUGCAAAUCGCACAAUUGGCAAAAGAUAGGGGUGAAAAGUGCAAUUAAGCCUUAUUUUUAACUGAUUUAUAUGAUUUUAAAUAAUUAUUGUUGAUGUUUUUUUUUAAGGAAUAAUUAUUGUUGAUGUUGUGGUGUGGUGUAUUUUAUUAAAUGAUUAUUUUAUUAUUUAAUAGAAUAAGUAGAGAAAUAGAGUUAUUUUAGAGUGAUGGGGCUGUUUUAGAAUUAAGGAGAAUUGGAGGGAGUUAAUGAAUAAGUGGGAGGUUAUGUUUUACUCAGUUACUAGAAAAUAGAACCAAGAGUCAGAGAACAGUUUUUUUUACAUAGAAACAAGAGUUUUGGGAGAAAAGUCAAGAGAAGCUAAAGAGCCAAGAAGAGGAGUCCGAUUUCUAUAGAGCUGUUCGUCGAAAUUAAGGUAAGGGUGAGGCUAACUUUCAAUAAUUAUAGUGUAUGUAAAUUCUGAAAUUGAUUUAACACGAGGUUUGUUCUUGAUUAUGGGAAUUAGGUUUUCCAUUGUUGAGUUCGAUUAGAAAAGUGUAGAAAUCAUGACAAUUGUGUUAAGAAUUGAUGUUCAGAUUGUAUAAUAAUCAUAGGUUAAGUUUCCUAACAAAUUUGGGAGUUUGUGUUUGAGUUUAGUGAAUUAAGAGUGAUUCCUAAGUGAAAAACGCAUUGUUAAUCUGAUUUUUGAACUGCUGUGAAGCUCAAAAUCGGCCACUGAGUUUCCAAAAUCGGCCACCAAUUUGUCAAAAUCGGCCACCGACUUUCUGCCAGGCAAAUCUGGAAAAUAUUCGUAAUUUUCACCCUUUUUUGUUUUGAAUUUGCUUUCGGUGUAAACAUGAAAGUUGUAGAUAAUUUUGUUAGCUUUCCAAUGGAUUUGGGUUGACUUAAAAAUGAUUUUUAGUUUUUGAGAUAUGAGGAAAAUACUCCAAGGAGGUCUUAGUGAAAUCUUAGAAAAAUUCAGUACAACCUUUUCUAAGUUAAUCCAAAACUUAUGGGAUAAUUCCAAGGCUCAAAAGUAGAAGUACUAUGAGUUCAAUUAAGAGUAUUUAAUCCAUGUUAUGAGUUGAUCUUGGGAUAGGAAUGGGAGUUGUUAAUAAGUUAUAGACGUACGGAGAGCCUGAAUCAAAUUAUUAAUGAUUGUUGGUUAGUUUAAGAUAUGUAUAUUAUGAGGAAAAUGUAUGAUAUAGAAAAUAUCGUUGUUAUUAUCAUUGAAGUUGUUAUUAUUAAUAUUGCUAUGUUGCAAGCUGCUUAUGUUGCUGAGUCGUAUGUUGAUAUACACAAAUGUUGAGUCCAUUUGCAUACCUAUAAUCCGUUGGGGGCUUAUGCCCUGGAGUGCUUUGUCAUUCACCACGUUGAUAUAAACGAAUGCUUUAACCAUUCAAUUGUUGGGGGCUCAUGCCCUGGAAUGCUUGUCAUUCACCACGUUGUGAUAUACCGUUGGGGGCUUAUGUCCUGGAAUGCUUUAACCAUUCAAAUUGUUGGGGGCUCAUGCGCCGGAAUGCUCAGUCAUUCGAUACGUUGAAAAUGGUAUCACAUGCAUAAUGCAUUUGUUGUUUGUUGUCGGUUGCAUUUGUAGUCAUUGUUGGUUGAGUCGUUGGUGUUGUCGUGGAGGUUGUUGCUUGUUGUUGUGGUGUUGUAAAUGAAGCAUGAAUAUUAUUGUUGAUUAAACUGUUGUAUUUGAUAUUGUUAAAUGCUAAUGAUGAUUUAUAUACCUAUAUCUAUUGUUGUGAAUCUCACCCCUUCUGCUUGGAAAUGUUGCCUUCUUAUGGUAACUUGCAGGUGACGAAGCUUAGUAGAAGUGGUGGCUCAUGUGUCUAGGUGCUCUGAUAUGUAACGGGAUGGAAAUUAUGUAGUUGUAUAUUCAUUCCUUUAUGUAUCAAAUUGUAAACCUGUAGUUGGAGUUUCAUGUUGAUGUUGGUUUACGUUUUAAAAAUAUUAUGUUGAGGCCUUUGUGCCAGAUCUUAUGAAGUUGGUU